rnacentral:rRNA from 1 species
UACGUAGGGAGCAAGCGUUGUUCGGAUUUACUGGGCGUAAAGGCGCGUAGGCGGCCUGUCAAGUCAAUUGUGAAAUCUCCGGGCUUAACUCGGAACGGUCAAGUGAUACUGUCGGACUAGAGUACAGAAGGGGCAACUGGAAUUCUCGGUGUAGCGGUGAAAUGCGUAGAUAUCGAGAGGAACACCUGCGGCGAAGGCGGGUUGCUGGGCUGAUACUGACGCUGAGGCGCGAAAGCCAGGGGAGCGAACGGG